GCAUAAUCACUUGUCCCUUAAAUCGGGACUGGAAUGAACGGCUAAAUGAGGACUAAACUGUCUCUUACAGGCCAGCCAAUGAAAUUGAUUUUCCAGUACAAAAGCUGGGAUACACCCACAAGACGAGAAGACCCUGUGGAGCUUACAAACCAAAUUCACCAAACAUGUCUUUAUCGGUUUUCAGUUGGGGCGACUUCGGAGUACAAAAUAACCUCCAAACAUAAAACUAAUUAAGAACAACAUAUCAAAAUAUACUUAUAAUGACCCAGCAACCUUGUGGUUGUCUGACUAAUGAACCAAGUUACCCCAGGGAUAACAGCGCCAUCCCCUUCUAGAGUCCCUAUCGACAAGGGGGUUUACGACCUCGAUGUUGGAUCAGGACACCCCAAUGGUGCAGCCGCCAUUAACGGUUCGUUUGUUCAACGAUUAAAGUCCAACGUGAU
rnacentral:rRNA from 1 species